UACAGAGGGUGCGAGCGUUGUCCGGAAUCACUGGGCGUAAAGGGCGCGUAGGUGGCGCGACAAGUCAGUGGUGAAAGUUCGACGCUCAACGUCGAAUCGGCCACUGAUACUGUUGGGCUUGAGCACUGUAGAGGCUAAUGGAAUUCCGGGUGUAGCGGUGGAAUGCGUAGAGAGUCCGGAAGAACACCGGUGGCGAAGGCGGCCUGCUGGGCAGUAGCUGACGCUGAGGCGGCGACAGCGUGGGGAGCAAACAGG
rnacentral:rRNA from 1 species